UCCGUUAUUGGACGGCGUUUUGAAAAAUACACACACACACACACACACACUGGAUCUGGCCACGCCCACUACGCACGUUCGCAGCGAUAGAAAAGGAGCAUCGGAUUAGCACACAGCGUUGAGAUCGGAGGCGCCGCGAUCACUACAACAACGGCAAGAUGAGCGGGCAGCCCUUUGAUGCGAUGUGGACGGCUCCGCCGCCGCCGUCCUACAUCGACACCGUGUACAUGAACCCAAAGGACUACGUCGUACUGGCCACGAGUAGCGGCGAGGAGGCGUUUGUGCACCGGGACUGCUUGAUGGAGUCGCCUGUGUUGCGGCUCGCGUUUCGCAAGCGCGUCCCACUCUUUACGGAAAACGUCUUGGUGGCGUUUUUCAAGGAGGACGAGCCAUCGUGCACCGGUGCCUCGUCGCCCAGCAUAAAUGCCGUGGACGGGGCCCUCGCAUCCGGGCAGCCUAUCGCAGCAGCGGUGGAUCCGGCCGCUGGCGACGGAGGAGGUGGGAGCAAGGAGAAUGAGGGCGACGGCGUGCCACAAGGCGCCGGUGCAGCACCAGUAGAGACGGGGAUCGAGAAUGCGAUGGCCCCGGAUCCGCAGUACCCAGCCACUCUCAAGGAGACGCUUCGGACGGACAACUCGGUGCGUGUCUUAUUUCCGCGUCUCAAGGGCGAUCAGCUAAACGUUCUUGUGUCGUACCUCUACUUCAAGCACCGCUACAACCGCCGUGUAUCGGAGGAGCGGCCAGCAUUUGAGGUGCCCACCACUGCCGCGCUGGAGGUGAUGCGUGUUGCAGCGGCGCUGGAGUGCUAAAAGCAUUAAACGCACGCGCACAUUGACAGACAUGUACAGCGGCGCAGCGGUGUGACUCGGCCCGUCGAGUGCGUCGAUGCUGCGGCUCCACACUGCUUGCCUUUGGAUCUAUCUUGGAUAUAUGUAUGCACAGGAGAGGUUGGUUCAUGAGGCGACUGCGGAUGAACCUGCCGCAGAUGUCCGACACGCACACACAAGUCGAUACGCGUUGAAACCAAAGCAGCCGCGUCGCCGUCUUUGUGUGCGCGUGCUGUUUUUGAUAGACAGAGCCGAGAGAACGCGCUACGGGCGUAGAAGGGAAGUGUCUGUGCAGCCUGCUACUUCUG
rnacentral:misc_RNA from 1 species